UCCUAGCCGUAAACGUUGCGGGUUACGCUUUGCUAAAUUUACGAGAUUUAGCAGGGGGGUAGCGAAGGCAUUAAACCCGCCACCUGGGGAGUACAGCCGCAAGGCCGAAACUUAAAGGAAUUGCCGGGGGAGUACUACAAGCGGUGCGGCGUGCGGUUUAAUUGGAUUUUACACCGAGAAACUUACCAGGGGCGACAGCACAAUGAAGGUCAGAUUAAAGGUUUUACCUAAGG
rnacentral:rRNA from 1 species